AUAAUUCAUCAGGCUGUAUGGAGGCCGCCCCCGAUACCCUAAGUGUGAAGUCCUCGGCCCCGCCUCCACCGGGCAGGGUCAUUCGACAUUGUGGGACGCGACUGCAGGGGAGGAGACCCCAAUUACAUGUGGCGCGGUGAAUUGAGCAGGGAUGUGGCCCAACACCUGUGGCGAAGGCGACCCUCUGGUAUGUAAUCGACGGUGAGGAGUGAGAGCGAGGGGAGCGAACAGGAUUAGAUAGUUUGGUAGUCCACGUAGCAAAUGAUGAGUGUCUAAGUGUUAGGGCGUUUCCGUCCUUUAGCGCUGCAGUUAACGCAUUAAGCACUCCGCCUGGGGAGUACGGUCGCAAGACUGAAACUCAAAGGAAUUGACGGGGGCCCGCACAAGCGGCGGAGCAUGUGGUUUAAUUCGAAGCAACGCGAAGAACCUUACCAGGUCUUGACAUCCUCUGACAAUCCUAGAGAUAGGACGUCCCCUUCGGGGGCAGAGUGACAGGUGGUGCAUGGUUGUUGUCAGCUCGUGUCGUGAGAUGUUGGGUUAAGUCCCGCAACGAGCGCAACCCUUGAUCUUAGUUGCCAGCAUUCAGUUGGGCACUUUAAGGUGACUGCCGGUGACAAACCGGAGGAAGGUGGGGAUGACGUCAAAUCAUCAUGCCCCUUAUGACCUGGGCUACACACGUGCUACAAUGGACAGAACAAAGGGCAGCGAAACCGCGAGGUUAAGCCAAUCCCACAAAUCUGUUCUCAGUUCGGAUCGCAGUCUGCAACUCGACUGCGUGAAGCUGGAAUCGCUAGUAAUCGCGGAUCAGCAUGCCGCGGUGAAUACGUUCCCGGGCCUUGUACACACCGCCCGUCACACCACGAGAGUUUGUAACACCCGAAGUCGGUGAGGUAA
rnacentral:rRNA from 1 species